rnacentral:rRNA from 1 species
UCCAGUUGAUCCUGCUGGAGACUACCUCUUUUGGGGUUCGAUUAAGCCAUGCACGUCAAAGGAAAGCUUGCUUUCCUGGCGCACAGCUCAGUAACACGUGGACAACCUACCCUAGAGACGGGCAUAACCUCGGGAAACUGAGGACAAUACCCGAUAGGUAACAAGUACUGGAAUGUCUGUUACCCAAAUGAUUUUUCGCUCUAGGAUGGGUCUGCGGCGGAUUAGGUUGAUGGCGGGGGUAAUGGCCUCCCAUGCCGACGAUCCGUACCGGCCUUGAGAGAGGGAGCCGGGAGAUGGAUACUGAGACAAAGAUCCAGGUCCUACGGGACGCAGCAGGCGCGAAAACUUCCCAAUGCGCGAAAGCGUGAGGAGGGAACCCCAAGUGUGAGCCGACAAGGUUUGCUUUUCUGGAGUGUAAAUAGCUCCAGGAAUAAGGGCUGGGUAAGACUGGUGCCAGCCUCCGCGGUAACACCAGCAGCUCGAGUGGUAGUCGUUUUUAUUGGGCUUAAAGCGUUCGUAGUCGGUUUCGUCAGUCUUCUGUGAAAUCCAUCGGCUUAACCGAUGGGCUGGCAGAGGAUACUGCGGGACUAGGAGCCGGGAAGGGCGAGGGGUAUUCCUUAGGUAGCGGUGAAAUGCUAUAAUCUUAGGAAGACCGCCGGUGGCGAAGGCGCCUCGCUGGAACGGGCUCGACGAUGAGGGACGAAAGCUAGGGGAGCAAAUCGGAUUAGAUACCCGAGUAGUCCUAGCCGUAAACUAUGCGGACUAAGUGUUAUCCAAACCUCGUGUUCGGAUAGUGCUGAAGGGAAACCAUUAAGUCCGCCGCCUGGGGAGUACGGUCGCAAGGCUGAAACUUAAAGGAAUUGGCGGGGGAGCACCACAAGGCGUGGAGUCUGCGGUUUAAUUGGAUACAACGCCGGGCAACUCACCAGGGGCGACGGCAGAAUGAAGGCCAGGCUGAGGGUCUUGCCUGACGAGCCGAGAGGUAGUGCAUGGCCGUCGUCAGCUCGUACCGUGAGGCGUGCGGUUAAGUCCGUUAACGAGCGAGACCCGUGCCCUUAUUUGCCACCGCUUCAGCUUGCUGGGGCGAGCACUAUAAGGGGACCGCUGGCGAUGAGUCAGAGGAAGGUGCGGGCGACGGUAGGUCUGUAUGCUCCGAAUCUCCUGGGCUACACGUGGACUACAAUGGCGUAAACAACGGGUUGCGACACCGUAAGGCGAGAGCCAAUCCCUUAAAUUACGUCCAAGUUCGGAUCGAGGGUUGCAACUCACCCUCGUGAAGCUGAAAUGCCUAGUAAUCGCAGUUUACUAUACUGCGGUGAAUAUGUCCCCGCUCCUUGCACACACCGCCCGUCAAACCAACCGAGUAGAUUUAGGAUGAGGCACCUCCGUUUCGGAAGUGUCGAAUUCUAUUUUUGCAAGGGGGGUUAAGUCGUAACAAGGUA